rnacentral:rRNA from 1 species
AAUGAACGUUGGCGGCAUGGAUUAGGCAUGCAAGUCGGGCGAGAAGAGUUUUGAAGCUUGCUUUAGAACUCGGACAGCGGCGAAAGGGAGAGUAACGCGUAGUUAUGUGCCCUAGGGUCCGGAAUAGCCACGGGAAACUGUGGGUAAUGCCGGAUAAUAUCCCCGGAUCAAAGGUGUGAUUCCGCCCUAGGAGCAGACUGCGUCCUACUAGCUAGUUGGUGGGGUAAUGGCCUACCAAGGCAAUGAUGGGUAGCGGGUGUGAGAGCAUGACCCGUCUCACGGGGACUGAGACACUGCCCAGACACCUACGGGUGGCUGCAGUCGAGAAUCUUCGGCAAUGGGCGAAAGCCUGACCGAGCGAUGCCGCGUGCGGGAUGAAGGCCCUCGGGUUGUAAACCGCUGUCGUAGGGGAGGAAGGUUCCGUGAAGAGCAGAAUUUGACCUAUCCUAGGAGGAAGUACGGGCUAAGUUCGUGCCAGCCGCCGCCGUAAUAC